UUCUAUUUAGCCCAUCUUCAACCGGGGUGCUUAACGGAGAUGGGGGGGGGGGAGGAUGUGCUUAGCUUAAUAAAGAUUUAAAAAAAAGAAGAGAAAAAUGGGAUUAGUGUGAAGAAACGGUGCUUAAAGAGGAGGUAGAAGAACCGGGUCUUGUGGGACACGUGCUGGGUCUUGGUUACACCUCUCUCUCCUUUCUCUUCUCAUCGCUCCACUCUCAUCUCUCUGGAUCCCACGUCAACGAGAGACCACCAUCUCCGCCGUCACACCGUGAACAAACAAUGAUCCCUCAUCUUCUCCCUCGUCCCUCUCCCUCUCGUCUUCGUCGAAUUGGCUCGAUCCGCCUGGUUCAAUCGGUACAAGAUCCAGCCCAAGGUCAAGAACUCCUUCUCCGACAUGUUCUGCUGCUACAGAGACGUCAUGAAGAUGUUCAUCCUCGUCGUCAGCCCUCUGCAGCUCGUCUCCUAUCCUUCGAUCAAGUUUUGCAUCCUAAAUUGAUCUUAGAUCACUCGAUUUCAUUCGGAAUCGGAAGCAGAAGACGAGAGAUUGUUCAUCCUUGGGUAGCCAUGGCCAUGUAUAUUCGUGUGAAGCGCAUGAAAGCAACUUACUUUAUCCAAUGCGAUCCGAAAGAGACUGUUUUGGAUGUUAAGCAUAAACUGUUUACUCUCAUUGAGAAACCAGUUAGCAGUCAGCGUCUUGUAUUAAUGUCUACUGAAGAAGUAUUAGAGGAUUCCAAAUCUCUAGCGGAGCAGCAGGUUGAGAAUGAUGCAGUCGUGGCUCUGACUUUGAGGAAAGGUACAUAUCCCUCAUAUCUCUUGUUGGUUUGUAGGUAACACGGACUAGUCGUGUGUUGAACUAGUAGUAAUCACCGUUUCUUUUCGAAGUUCAUUGAGGCUGUUGAAAAGAGUCCUCUAGAAAGUUUGGCUAUAGCUGAAUAUGAUAACGAGUUUGAGGAUGUUGACAUCGCACAGCCCACCGACUUCUCAAUCUCAUGAAGAGUUGCACUGACUGUGUAUCAGGGAACCUCUUGAACAUUAGAAGUAUUUUAUUCAAACACAAAGGUGGAGUCGGUAAAGCGCUUGAAGUCUCUCUCUCUCUCUCUCUCUCUCUCUCUCUCUCUCUCUCUCUCUCUCUCUCUCUCUCUCUCUCUCUCUCUCUCUCUCUCUCUCUCUCUCUCUCUCUCUCUCUCUCUCUCUCUCUCUCUCUCUCUCUCUCUCUCUCUCUCUCUCUCUCUCUCUCUCUCUCUCUCUCUCUCUCUCUCUCUCUCUCUCUCUCUUAUUUGUUACUAACAAUUGUUGCAAGUAAAGAUAAUGAGAUGUAGAACUGAUUGCAACUUGCAAGAUUAGUAAUUCUUUCAUGAUA